GUAGUCCACGCCCUAAACGAUGUCAACUAGUUGUUGGGGAUUCAUUUUCUCAGUAACGUAGCUAACGCGUGAAGUUGACCGCCUGGGGAGUACGGUCGCAAGAUUAAAACUCAAAGGAAUUGACGGGGACCCGCACAAGCGGUGGAUGAUGUGGAUUAAUUCGAUGCAACGCGAAAAACCUUACCUACCCUUGACAUGCCACUAACGAAGCAGAGAUGCAUUAGGUGCCCGAAAGGGAAAGUGGACACAGGUGCUGCAUGGCUGUCGUCAGCUCGUGUCGUGAGAUGUUGGGUUAAGUCCCGCAACGAGCGCAACCCUUGUCUCUAGUUGCUACGCAAGAGCACUCUAGAGAGACUGCCGGUGACAAACCGGA
rnacentral:rRNA from 1 species